rnacentral:rRNA from 1 species
ACAGAGGGUGCAAGCGUUGUUCGGAAUUACUGGGCGUAAAGCGUGCGUAGUCGGUAUUGAGAGUCGCGGGUGAAAUCCCAGGGCUUAACCCUGGAACUGCCUGCGAGACCUCAGUACUAGAGUGUGAGAGGGGAUAUUGGAAUACCCAGUGUAGCGGUGAAAUGCGUAGAGAUUGGGUGGAACACCGGUGGCGAAGGCGGAUAUCUGGCUCACAACUGACGAUCAGGCACGAAAGCGUGGGGAGCAAACAGGA